GACGCGCCCGCUGCCACCGCCACCACCACCACCACCAUCAUCAUCAUCAUCAUCUUCAUCAUCAUCAUCAUCAGUCCCGGGGGGGGCACCGAGCCCUUCCCGUAUCCCCCGGUAACUUCCCCACAGCGCGGGGGACGCCGCCGGACCUCAGCCUCGGGAGCCCCCUCCUGCUGCGGGCGGGGGGGAGGAAGACGAGGAGGAGGAAGAAGAGGAGGAGGAGGAGGGUGGUGUGGGGGUGUCCCCACCGGGCAGCCCCCCCCUUUCCGGGAUCCCGCUGCCGGGCGCGGCCCCACACACAAGUUUGGGGGCUCCCCGCACGGCCGCGGCUCUUCCAAAUAACGCUCCGCAUUUUUAUUUUUUAUUUUUAUUUAUUUUUUGGGGGGGAGGGUCCCGUCCGUCGCCGCCCCCCCCCACCCCCCCUGUUUCCCUCUCCCCACUCCGCAGCCCCCCGGCUCCCCGUUACCUCCUGUCCGCCAUCUCGGGUGAGCGCCGCCGCGUCCCGGGGCAGGCCCGGCGGGGGCCCGGCCGGCCGCCCCCCGGAGGCUUCACGGGUAAAGGAAGGAUGUUACCAUUUCUGUACUGACUCAUUUCAAAAAUUUCAGUCAACCAAAUGCUUUUUAGUAGAACCUAAAGACAUAUCCUUAUUUAGCUCUGCAUAUUUGAGAACACAGGAUGUUGAAUGUUAGUACACAUGGCUUGGACACAGCUGGGAGCACAGCUUCAAGCAACUUUUCCACCCUGAAUAACUAAAGAAAGCACAAAAGAACGUUUUCAGCGUGACCUAGCCAAUGAAAGGUAGGCUACUGUACAAAAACAAAGACUGUGACAUAUUUUCAGGUGGAAAUUUGCACAGUUCUGGCUAACUUUUGGUUUCCAAACAUUGGGGGAGCACCGUUCGAGACUGGUUCUGUUCUAGCUGAAUACAUGGAAUGCAACUGUGUUGAAAUGAAAGGUAUUACCCAUCCUUACAAUGAGCAGUGCACACCUAAAAAUAAAUUUGCACAUAGUGAAGGUGGUUUAUACAGAGGUCCACUUUCACUAACUUGCCCCCACCCCCUGUACCUAGAUGUUUAACAAGGCUAUCUUUAGUCUUGACUCCAUAUGGAAAAAACAUACAGGUAGACCUGUCUCCAGUUCUGCCUGACUUCAUCACUUCAUUAGCUUUCUCCACGAGCUGCCGUGUGUGCCUUCUUGCCUCAUCCUCCUAGAAAAUUCAGACCCCUCCAAUUUUCUAAUAUGCCAAGUCUCAGCGCACUCAUUUUCACAAGUACUGAUGUAAAAUGCAACUUUUCUUGUAAGGAAAAUAUUAUUUACCACCUUUAAUAUGUGUAAAUGACUGCACUGAAGAAUAAAGCCCAAGUCUAACAACAUUAUGCCAAAUUAAUAGAAUUAUUGAGCAACUAUGAUAGCUUUAAAGCCGUAUCAAAAUGAAGAAACCAUUUAGGAACUUAAACAUCAUUUUUCGUAUCAGAGUGUGUCAGCCCAAUAACACCCUUAUGUGGUCCUAAUCAAUCAAAGUAUCACUAUUGCUGAAUGUAAAUUCAGCAUGGCUUAUCUGCUUCUCCAUACCAAAAUCAGGGUGUUACUUGCACUGAUUUCUGUCACAAGGAUAAGCCUCUCUUACUUAAAUUGGAGUAAUCUGCUUCUUUGCAGGUCCUGUCUCCUUUCCCUCAGAGGCAACAGAGUCCUAGCUAUGAUGUUUCAAAAAGACAACCAAAUAACUUCCCAGGGAACAUAAGUAUGCUGUUGUUGUGUCCCUGAAUAGGGCUCUCUAAACCUCUUCUUGUUAGCUGAUUCUUCAAACUAAAUGAUAGAGUUGUGCUCCAGCAGAAUAGCUAAUGGUCUGAAAUGCACUUUGGAUACCACAUUUAGACCUUAUUAACUAAAUAAGGAAUAUGUUUAUUUUUAGUAGAAGUUGGGUACAAAAUCUGCAAGAAACAGGAAAUGUUGAUUAAAUUAAAUGCUGAUUAGGUCUUCUGUAAUUUAAAUGGUUGCAGGCACACAAAACAACAACAAAAAUAAAAGGAAAAGGGAGCUAGUUGAAAAAGGUAAGGUACUUGCUUUUCAUUGUCCAUGCUGAGCAAAAAUUAAAUGUUACAAGAAUCUGUAAACAGCUUUCAGUUUCAAAAAUGGAUUAAAGGCCCAAGCAACACUCAUCUAUCAUCCUACAAUUAGUACCUCCUAGAUUUCAAUGAGAUUACUCACAUAUGUAAAAAGCAUAAUCUCUCAGGACACAGAGAUGAAUAAAGACGGUCACAAGGAUGGAUUUAAGAAGCAAGCUGGAACUUCAUUAACACAAUAUUUUCACAUGUCAAACAGUUAAGUGGGCCCAGUGCAGGGAUUACAAAGCUACAAUUUAGGGCAGGUCUUCCCAAAUCUCUGGAACAAGCUCACAUCUGAACCUCUGAACCCUUCCCUGGGAAAAGGGAGGAGUACCUAAACCCCCAAACACUUUAUUUAGAUUUCCGUCUUUCCUAAACACAAAUCCCAUUACAAAGUUGCCGAUUUCUUAUUCCAACUUCAGCCUUACUCCAUACUUCAGAGUACCCCAAAAUUUCCAUAAAUUCCAACCAAUGAAAAAGUAUGUAUAUUGUCACACAGUCCAUUUCCAAAUCCGACUUCUCAGCCUACCCAUGUCUCCAUGGUGCUCCAAAGACCAUGAAAGCAUCCUAUGCCACCCCCAAGUACACCAAAAUAGGGAAAACAUACCUUUCUUUACACCACAAUAGCUAACCAAGCGAUAGCAUCCCUAGACCAUAGUUUCUAUGACAUGGUUCAUAGGGAGAGGAAAUACUGUAGCCUAAGGCACAGAGGCCCGCAUGCCCCCAGCUUCACUUACGUGCCUACCAAAAACCAGAGAACCGGUCUAGGAUCCUAGCUGGCAUUCUCAUGCGUAUAUGCUGCCUGUCCCCUUUCUUUCUUGUCUGUUUACCCCACCACCAGGUUAAUUAAUAGUGUUUUCCAUGCAGCCUCCACUGGAGGUGGAGGAAGCACCUGCAGGAUGAGAAACCAUGUAGCGAUGCUUACUUACGUAUAGAGGCCAGGAGGAACAUCUCUUGCAUGGCUCAGUGGGGGUCACUUAGGACUAAUUAGCCAGGGCAGACCGUUAGGACAGUUUAUGUGUGGUACUUCCAGACCCCCAUGUAAUUCAGGUAUGUCAGGAUGGCACAGCAUUGUGCACAGCAUGCACAUUAAAUUCAAGCAAGGACUGCAACAUAAAGUUUUCAAAGUGAUUAGCAGUUUUGGGUGCUCUAUAAGUUGAAUAAAUUGUGGUGAGAUGGUGCAGUUUUCCAAGAGCAGAUGUGCUUCUUUUUUUUUUUUUUCAAACCUAGCCCCAUUUCCUAAAGCUAGUGAUCAACUGAAAAAAAAAAAAAAGGCGGUAAUUGGAGUCAUCUGUGACUUCUGAAAAUAGAGGACAGUUCCUGUAAGUAAGGUUUAGCAAGAGCAAGCACUUAGUAUCUUAUCAUUAGCACAGGAACAAGAAUUUGUAUAUACUGUUUUAUUAAGAUUAAUAUCUCUACAGUGGUCCUUAUAUGAAAACAAAAUAAAAAAUGCUGUAAAAGGACAGAAAAAUGACUCAAUUUCCUGUUACUGACAAAAGUGUCUGAUUUUGAACAUAGCCAUCCUUUGCGCCACAAGACAAAGUUUUUAUUCUAAUAAGGUACAGCAAUUAAUAGUAAAAUAAAUUUGGAAAAAAAAGUGAUAUGAGCCUUUUAAAAAACUUAGCAUGUUUGCCACAGGUUUAUCAUCUAGCAUGAUAUCCUCAAGAAAAGCAAAAAGAAAGAAAGAAAAAAAGGCAAAAUCCUCAGCCACAGAUACUUCUUCUUACAAGAAAGUUCAUUCUGCUAGUUGUGAUUUGUUGAAAAAUCAUAGACCAUAUACAUUUUUGUUACAAUAUUUUUAACACAAAACUCUUUUUUUUUAUUUUUUUCACUACCAUCCCUCAUAGAGUAACACAGCUUUUGAUAUCACUAAAUAACUAUAAUAAAAACAAAGAUGAGGGGAGGCUGAAAUGCAAUGAAAUGUUAUUUGUAUUGGUAACAGGGCAAUCACUGAUUUAAAAUUGUCAGUGGAACUCCUUUUCUCAAAUGAUUGCUUGGUUAGGAAAACAACACUUUAAACCAUCUAGCAACAUCUGAAUUUCUGGAGAAGGGCUCAGGUUUAGUACUUGUCAUAAUCUGUGUUUUGACUAUUAGACCUGCACAUUUUUAAAAGUGUGCACAUUCUGUUGCUCUGAAAGUAUCCUACAUACUGCUCAGAAGAUUACUGUCUAGAAGGCUCAUACAUCUACAUAUUUUACUAUUAAAGAAACAAAAAAUCUUGCAAUUCCAUAGAAAUAAAAUUAUCUUAAGAACUUGAAGUCUGUCUUACCUCAUUCACCUGCUUAUGCAGUUGCAGGUAUGCAGUGAAGGAUAAGCAGUGCAAAAUAUUUUGUAUUCUGGUUUUACAGUGUAGGCAUUCAGGCUAUGUUCACUACAAAUGACUGCGCAAGGUGAGAGGAACUGGAGAAUCAGGCCCCAAAGAUUUUCUAUACUGGAUCAGAUCACUGGUGCAUUAAGUGUGUCACCUCACAGCUGGAUGCUCCAAAAUGAACCUAGCUAUCUCUGUAGUACUGUGGUAGCUACUCUGGUAGUCAGGAUGCAUCCAGAAGAGGAGACCGCUUUGUGUCUAUCAUUUUCUUAGUGUAUCUAAAUAUCUAAUUCAGACUUCCUUACCAUUUCAGCAAGAGUAAAGAGUAUCUGACUGGUUGUGAAAUAGGAUCUAAAACAUAGCAUUAGAAAUUACAAAUAAUAACAUUAGAAAAACAAACACAUUACUUUCUUACAAUUUUCAUAAGUGUCUGUGGUACAAGAAAAUAUUCCUCAAUAUAAGAAACACGUGCUAUGUAUACCAUAAUUUACAUCAUGUUAUUUUACACUGCAGAGCUACUUUGUGGAACUUUACAGCUUUUAUAAUGAUCCAUUUAAGUCAGAAAUAGAACAAUAUUACAUAAACAAUAAUUAUAUACAAUAUGCAAAUAUCAUCUAGCUAUAGGAAGUGCUACAUAUCAGCAACACAAGGCAGCAAAAAAUAUAUAAACAUACAAAGCUAUCUACAUCUUUUAGAGGUU